rnacentral:lncRNA from 9 species
CAGGGCCCGGGGAGGAGCCAGGACCCCGGGCGGGAGAAAAGAGACUGAGGGGCGUGCGGCACAAAGAGCUUUUUAUUUAAAUUUGUUUAGAGUUUGGCGAAUUUGCAUGAAAAAUGUGUGAGAAAAGCCAGCUCCGGUGACCUCAUCCGCACCUGCCAUUAACGUUCAAUUAGCGGUUGAAUAGAGGCGCCGACGCGACGUGCAGAGAAUCCGGCGGGCCCCGCGGAGCCACGGCUGCGGGCCGGGCCCAGGGUGGGGUGGGAGUGGGGGGGCGGGGGCCGACUCCUGCGAGCCGGAGACGCUCGCCUCGUCCGCACCCCAACUCUCUGAGGGGACGUAGGAACCACAGAGCCCUCGAGUCCAAGGCGGCAUGGGGCGCAGCAGGGCCCGGGGCACCUGGGGAUGCCAGGCUCCCUCCUGGCGCCGAGGAGGGCAGGCUUGCCCCCUCCCCAGGAUAGGAGGUGGAUGGAUGAGCCCCCGUCCUAGCUCAGAUGGGUUCCCUCGCCACCUUCCGGACAAAGUGUCAAGUACAAGUUCAAGUUCAGGGCCAGGCCCGGGGGGGGGGGGGGGGGCGCCAAGCCUUCUCCCGCCGCCUUUGUUCUUGGAGAGAAUCACUCCUAAGUCUCCUCCGGGCGGGGCCCGGCCAACGCCCCCGCCCCGCCCCGUGGUGCCCAACUGGGGCCGCCUCCUCCCGCCCUCGCGGCGCCUGUCCCCUGGUCCCGGCGCCCCCGCUCAGGGCCACCGAAGGGUCUGGGUACUCGGGGAGGGGGGAGGCGCGAUCCGGGUCCGUGGGAGCCUCCCCAGCCCCGCAGUCCCAGCAGCAAACCGAGCGUUGUCGGACGGAUGCUCGCGCGGAGGUCCAUUUCCAGAGCGUCUCUGAGGAAGAACAAGACAGAGAAUUCCUGGUUCAGUCCCUGGAGAAAGUCAACAGGGCAGCGAGUUUCUCUCCCUGGUGCUGCUCUGGAAGGAGGACUCAGUGGGUGGCUGCCUGGAGCCAUCAGGGAUGUGGAAUUGCCUGCUUCUUCAUGCCAAAGAGAGAAGAUGAAGGAAAAGGCUCCAGCCAAUCAAUGAACAUGCACUCCUUACCAUGGCAAAUGGCACUGACUGGCUCAGACCAGCCAUUCCCAACCCCAUCAGCCCACCCCUCAAAUUACUAUCCUCAUAAAAUCUGUAAAAAAUAGAACCCACUUACACAUGUAAUUGCAAAAACAUUAACGCAAUGUAUAAAGGAAACAUCAAAGGAAAUGUACAGUAAAAUACAUUUAUUUCAAGAUAUAUGCUCAGUAUUUGUCAAGUUUUUUGUUUUGGGUUUUUUUGUUUGUUUGUUUGUUUUGCUUUUUGGGGCUGCACCCACAGCAUAUGAAAGUUCCCAGGCAAGGGGUUGAAUUGGAGCUGCAGCUGCCAGCCUACACCGCAGCCACAGCAACUCAGGAUCCCAGCCUCAUCUUUGACCUACACCACAGCUCAGGGCAAUGCCAGAUCCUUAACCCACUGAGCAGGGCCAGGGAUCCUAGUCAGGUUCGUUAAAUGCUGAGCCACAACGGGAACUCCAAUUUGUCAAGUAUUUCUGAUUCUAGAGUAUUCUAGAGGACAUAAUGAAACAAUCAGAUGCCUUCACCUCCACAGACAAUUUUCACAGGAGUUCCUGCUGUGGCUCAGCAAUAAGGAACCCGACUAGUGUCCAUGAGGACACAGGUUCAAUCCCUGACCUCACUCAGUGGGUUAAGGAUCAAGUGUUACUGUGAGCUGCAGUGCAGGUCACAGACACAGCUCAGAUUUGGCAUUUCUGUGGCUGUGGCAUAGGCUGUAGCUGCAGCUCUGAUUCGACCCCUAGCCUGGGAAUUUCCAUAUGCGUUGAGUGUGGCCCUAAAAAGACAAAAAAGAAAAAAAAAAUUCCACAAAUAUGGCAGUGAUGCAGCAAAGGAAACCAUAAAAAAAAGAAAAAGACAACCUAUGGAAUGGGAGAAAAUAGUUUCAAAUGAUGCAGCUGACAAGGGCUUACUCUCUAAAAUAUACAAUCGACUUAUACAACUCAACAGCAAAAAAACCCAAAAACCCAAUUGAAAAAUGGGCAAAAGAGCUGAAUAGACAUUUCUCCAAAGAAGAUAUACAGAUGGCCAAAAAGCAUAUGAAAAAAUGCUCAACAUCCCUCAUUAUUAGAGAAAUGCAAAUCAGAACUACUGUGUGGUACCACCUCACACCAGUUAGAAUGGCCAUCAUUAAUAAGUCCACAAACAACCAAUGCUGGAGAGGGUGUGGAGAAAAGGGAAUGCUCCUGCACUGUUGGUGGGAAUGUAAAUUGGUAAACCCACUAGGCAGAGCAGUAUGGAGGUACCUCAGAAAACUAAAUAUAGAACUACCAUAUGACCCAGCAAUCCCAUCCUGGGGCAUAUAUCCAGGCAAAACUUCCCUUGAAAAAGAUAAAUGCACCCAUAUGUUCAUUGCAGCACUAUUCACAAUAGCCAAGACAUGGAAAUGUCCAUUGACAGAUGAAUAGAUUAAGAAUAUGUGGUAUAUAUACAUGAUGGACUACUACUCAGCCAUGAAAAAGGACAAAAUAAUGCCAUUUAUAGCAAUAUGGAUGGAAUUAGAGACUCUUUAUACUGAGUGAAGUUAGUCAGAAAGAGAAAGACAAAUACCAUGUGAUAUCACUUAUGUCUGGAAUCUAACAUACCGCACAAAUAAACCUUUCCACAGAAAAGAAACUCAUGGACUUGAACAGACUUGUGGUUGUCAAGGGAUGGGGGAGGGAGUGGGAUGGACUGGAAGUCUGGGGUUAAUAGAUGCAAACUAUUGCCUUUGGAAUGGAUAAGCAAUGAGAUUCUGUUGUAUAGCACUGGGAAAUAUUCUAGUCACUUGUGCUGGAACAUGAUGGAGGAUAAUGUUAGAAAAAGAAUGUGUAUAUGUAUGUGUGACUGGGUCAAUUUGCUGUACAAUAGAAAAUUGACAGAACACUGUAAACCAACUAUAAUGGAAAAAUUAGAAAUCAUUAAAAAAUAUGGCAGUGAUGGAUACAAAUAGAUACAGAUGGAUUAUUUUGUGACUAAACCACUACUAUGCGAUUAUGUUGAAAUGGUAACUCUUGGGAAGAUUUUAAAUGACAUAUAGCUUAAGUUUCCUCCAUGUACACAGUGGUGGUUAUGCUGUGGUGUAUAUGUGAUUGACAUAUUAGAG